CAGGCCUCCCUCUGCUUGGUUCCAGUCGUGGGCAUGAGUGAGGGGCGAUGCUUGAUGGCUUUGAUGCCAUCGGUGGGAAUGUGUUUAAGCAUCGGCCUUCCCUCAUGACCACGAUGGUCUACAGUCUUGUGUACGAGUUAGUGACGUCGCUUGUUUGUUUUGAUGCUUGCGUUGGAACUUGCUUAAGCAACCGACCUGACGAAGUACCCAUGAAUGUCACCCAUGAUGGUCUACAGUCUUGCGUACGAGUUAGUGACGUCGCUUGUUUGUUUUGAUGCUUGCGUUGGAACUUGCUUAAGCAACCGACCUGACGAAGUACCCAUGAAUGUCACCAAUGAUGGUCUACAGUCUUGCGUACGAGUUAGUGACGUCGCUUGUUUGUUUUGAUGCUUGCGUUGGAACUUGCUUAAGCAACCGAACUGACGAAGUACCCAUGAAUGUCGCCCAUGAUGGUCUACAGUCUUGGGUAUGAGUCAGUGACGAUGCUUGUUUGUUUUGAUGCUUGUGUUUGAACUUGCUUAAGCAACCGACCUGACGAAGUACACAUGAAUGUCGCCCAUGAUGGUCUACAGUCUUGGGUAUGAGUCAGUGACGAUGCUUGUUUGUUUUGAUGCUUGCGUUUGAACUUGCUUAAGCAACCGACCUGACGAAGUACACAUGAAUGUCACCCAUGAUGGUCUACAGUCUUGCGUACGAGUUAGUGACGUCGCUUGUUUGUUUUGAUGCUUGCGUUGGAACUUGCUUAAGCAACCGACCUGACGAAGUACCCAUGAAUGUUGUUGGGAGCCGGAAGCCAAGGGGGUCCAAACAUUAGUUGAACUUUGUCCCGAUUGCCGAGUGUUAUGUGCUUGAUGUCCAAGGCUUGAUGCUGAUCCUCCAAGUGGGGCUUGUCCCUGCACCAAUGGCUUUUGCCAGGAUCAUGGCGUUUGUUGUGAUCGAAAAAAUGAGGGGGUGAUGUUUAGAGCCGGAAGGCAAGGGGGUGCAAACACCAGUCGGCCUUUGUCCCGAUUGCUGAGUGUUAUGUGCUUGACGUCCAAGGCUUGAAGCUGACCCUCCAAGUGGGGGCUUUUUUGUUCCUGCGGUAACGACUCUGUUGGGAUCAUUGUGAUCAAGUUUGGUUGGUUUCGUAUUGUGGUGGGUUUUUUCGAAGCUUCUAUCGUUCUUUUACGCAUCGUGCGGUGCAUCUUGGGGGCUGUUUUGGCUUUUGGUUGCUUGCUUGGGCUUUAUGCUAGGCGGGUGGGUAAU
rnacentral:misc_RNA from 1 species